ACAAACCUUUCAACAAGCUUUUCUCUACAAGCUCUCUGCCUGGAAUAACGCUGAGUCUGCUUUCAACACCUACACCGUGACAAUAAGGAUCCGAGAGCGUCACCGUCUGCAAGCGCUGACCCAACUUCCUCUGUGUGCACUCAACAGAAAUGAUAAGGCUUCAACUUCCCCCUCCACCCUGACUCGGGCAAACAGCUGCCCUGCACCCCGAGACUCGGCCCUCCGUGUCGGCAUCGGGCCUGACUGCACGUUGCUCUGUGUGGACUUGAUGGAGCAUGCAGAUAAGGCACACUGUUGUGGCUGGGUUGCCUUUAAAGCAGUAUGCGAUCGUUGGUAGAUAGGUUCUAGCAAGUAACCCCGGUGUUUGGAUCCCUUUGUGUCUGCUUGUGUGUGCAUGUAUGGACUGAGUAGUCAUGGAAAAGUACUCAUAUCCUUCACUUAAACAAAGCAAUAUAGCGGUCCAAAAAUACGUCAUUAUUUGCACGUGCAAAUCUGUUUUUUUAUCUUUAUUUUUUUAUAUAAUUAUCAGCAAAAUCUCUUUUAAGCAUCAAAAGUGAAAAUACUCAUUCAGUAGAAAAUGAUGACCAAACAUGAUUGAUGGUGUUUUUAUGUGUGUGUGUUUUUUAUGUCUAAGAUCUUUGUUUAUUCUUGUAAAUGAGCUCUAGCCUGCAGGAUUUCCAAAGCGGUUAUAUAUCAAGUACAAAAAUGACCUUAUGACUUUGCACUGCUGUACCUACUCCAACCAGUCCUUUAUGGACACUUAAAAUAUCUUUAUGAAACUGUU